rnacentral:rRNA from 1 species
UACGUAGGGUGUGAGCGUUAAUCGGAAUUACUGGGCGUAAAGCGUGCGCAGGCGGUCGUUCAAGUCGCGUGUGAAAGCCCCCGGCUCAACUGGGGAGGGUCACGCGAUACUGAUCGACUCGAAGGCAGGAGAGGGUAGUGGAAUUCCCGGUGUAGUGGUGAAAUGCGUAGAUAUCGGGAGGAACACCAGUGGCGAAGGCGACUACCUGGCCUGUUUCUUGACGCUGAGGCGCGAAAGCUAGGGGAGCAAACGGG